CUAGUACUAGGCCUAGUCUCAGUAGUAUAUUGUAUCCAGGUUUCUCAAACACCAACUCGUGGAAGCGCUGAGGAGGGAGUUUAGAUCGUCUGGAUCGCUGCAUUGUUCACAGAAAUGAAGAAUUACCCUGAACAAUAACAGAAAGAACUCGUCUGCACCGGAUUCCAGGAAGAAGAGGGCCAGGAAGCUGAUGAUCCCCACUUUUAAGAACCUUCUUUCACAAGGAUAGAAACAGCCAUGCCACCACCACAACAACCACCACCACCACCAGUCUUCAGGCAACCGAAGGAACAGUGUGCUCCCAGGCAUGAGCAUGGUUGGAUGGCUUCAAAUGAGGACCCAGGAGUGAUGCGACCGACAUUUCCAUAUGACCCCUGGCAACAUUCCUGGCCAGAGGAAUAUUCUCCCUUUGGUUUUGAGGGGGGCCAAGACAGGCACAAAGGUUCCAUGUAUU